CUUGGUCAUUUAGAGGAAGUAAAAGUGGUAACAAGGUUUCCGUAGUAGGAACCUGCGGAAGGAUCAUUAUCGAUUCAAACCAAAUGAGAGGGAAGUUGUUAUAGUAGUGCUGGCCUCUGUCAUGGAGGUAUUGUGCACGCUCGACUUCUUCCUUUCUUCAUUUACACACCCUGUGAACUUGUUGUAGGGCUGUCUCGCAAGAGAUGCUCUAUGUCUUUCUCAUAUACUCCAUAAUGUUUAUAGAAUGUACCUUUUUGCUCUCGUCAGAGACAAAAAUAAAGCCUUUAUAACUUUCAGCAACGGAUCUCUUGGCUCUCGCAUCGAUGAAGAACGCAGCGAAUUGCGAUAUGUAAUGUGAAUUGCAGAUUUUCAGUGAAUCAUCGAAUCUUUGAACGCACCUUGCGCUCCUUGGUAUUCCGAGGAGCAUGCCUGUUUGAGUGUCAUUAAAUUCUCAACUCUCUUUGAUUUAUUCAAAGGCGAGCUUGGAUCUUGGAGGCUUUGCCGGCUGUGAAGUCGGCUCCUCUGAAAAGCAUUGGUAAAGACGUAUUGCAUGCCUCUGUAAUGGAGGUGUGUGCUGGCCUCUGUAAUGGAGGUUGGUAUCAGGUCGGCCUUUCGGUGUGAUAAUGAUCACCGUGGCUAGCUGGCUAUUCAUGUCUAUGCCUUACUUGCUACUUUUUCCAUUGACUUGGAAAAAAGCACUUUGACCAUUUUGACCUCAAAUCAGGUAGGACUACCCGCUGAACUUAAGCAUAUCAAUAAGCGGAGGAAAAGAAACUAACAAGGAUUCCCCUAGUAACUGCGAGUGAAGCGGGAAAAGCUCAAAUUUUGAAUCUGGCGGUCUCUGGCCGUCCGAGUGUAUCUGAGAAUAGAAGAAGUGCUUUCCCGCUGGACCGUGUACAAGUCUCCUA
rnacentral:rRNA from 1 species